GGUCAAGUGAAUAAGCGCAUACGGUGGAUGCCUUGGCAGUAGAAGGCGAUGAAGGACGUAGUAGCCUGCGAUAAGCCUCGGGGAGUCGGCAAACAGACUUUGAUCCGGGGAUUUCCGAAUGGGAAAACCCACCCUUCGGGGUACCGCGCAAGCGGAGCUAACCCGGGGAACUGAAACAUCUAAGUACCCGGAGGAAAAGAAAUCAACCGAGAUUCCCUUAGUAGCGGCGAGCGAACGGGGACCAGCCGAUCAAUCAGUGCGUAGUGGAAUGGUCUGGAAAGUCCAGCGAUACAGGGUGAAAGCCCCGUACACGAAACCAUCUGAUUGGCAUAUCAAGUAGGGCGGCGCACGUGAAACGCUGUCUGAAGAUGGGGGGACCAUCCUCCAAGGCUAAAUACUCUCUACUGACCGAUAGUGAACCAGUACCGUGAGGGAAAGGCGAAAAGAACCCCUGUGAGGGGAGUGAAAUAGAACCUGAAACCGUAUGCGUACAAGCAGUGGGAGCCCCCUCGGGGGUGACUGCGUACCUUUUGUAUAAUGGGUCAGCGACUUACUUCUCAAUGGCAAGGUUAACCGAAUAGGGGAGCCGUAGCGAAAGCGAGUCUUAAUAGGGCGCAUAGUCGUUGGGAGUAGACCCGAAACCGGGCGAUCUACCCAUGGCCAGGUUGAAGGUGGGGUAACACCUACUGGAGGACCGAACCGGGAUCUGUUGAAAAAGAUUCGGAUGAGCUGUGGGUCGGAGUGAAAGGCUAAUCAAGCUCGGAGAUAGCUGGUUCUCCUCGAAAGCUAUUUAGGUAGCGCCUCGUGAAUCACCGCUGGGGGUAGAGCACUGUUUCGGCUAGGGGGUCAUCCCGACUUACCAACCCGAUGCAAACUCCGAAUACCAGCGAGUGCAAUCACGGGAGACACACGGCGGGUGCUAACGUUCGUCGUGGAAAGGGAAACAACCCAGACCGCCAGCUAAGGUCCCAAAAUCACAUCUCAGUGGGAAACGAUGUGGGAAGGCCCAGACAGCCAGGAGGUUGGCUUAGAAGCAGCCAUCCUUUAAAGAAAGCGUAAUAGCUCACUGGUCGAGUCGGCCUGCGCGGCAGAUUUAACGGGGCUUAAGAUGUGUACCGAAGCUGCGGAUGCAAGCUUGCUUGCAUGGUAGAGGAGCGUUCCGUAAGCCGUUGAAGGUGUGUUGUGAAGCAUGCUGGAGGUAUCGGAAGUGCGAAUGCUGACAUGAGUAACGAUAAAGGGGGUGAAAGGCCCCCUCGCCGUAAACCCAAGGGUUCCUGCGCAACGUUAAUCGGCGCAGGGUUAGUCGGCCCCUAAGGCGAAGCCGAAAGGCGUAGUCGAUGGGAAGCAGGUUAAUAUUCCUGCACCUGUGGGAGAGUGACGGAUUGCGAAAUUCCGGAUUGGGCGUUGGUUGUCCCAAGAAGGAGCUGGCAGUUCCAGGAAAUAGCCCCCACAUAUAGACCGUACCCCAAACCGACACAGGUGGGUGGGAUGAGUAUUCCAAGGCGCUUGAGAGAACUCGGGUGAAGGAACUAGGCAAAAUAGUACCGUAACUUCGGGAGAAGGUACGCCCACGCAAGUGGGCCGCAGUGAAAAGGUGGCUGCAACUGUUUAUUAAAAACAUAGCACUCUGCAAACUCGAAAGAGGACGUAUAGGGUGUGACGCCUGCCCGGUGCCGGAAGGUUAAUUGAUGGGGUUACCCCACACCUAGAUCAUCUUCAUCGUAUGUACUACGUCUACGUGCUUUACUCCAAAAGUCUCGACGAGUUUUAUCUGGGAUCGACCGAAGAUCUCCGGAAACGACUCCAACAGCAUUUAAAUGGAGAAAACACAUCGACAAAAAAGGCAACAGACUGGCAAGUCUCCUACUACGAGGCUUACCUCAGUGCCUGUGCAGCACGAAGAAGAGAAGCCAACUUGAAGCGAAGUGGCAAGGCUUACCAAAGCCUGAAACAACGCAUCAGAGAAAGCUUUGAGGGUGAUCUAGGUGUGGGGGAAGCUCUUGAUCGAAGCCCCGGUAAACGGCGGCCGUAACUAUAACGGUCCUAAGGUAGCGAAAUUCCUUGUCGGGUAAGUUCCGACCUGCACGAAUGGCGUAACGAUGGCCACACUGUCUCCACCCGAGACUCAGUGAAAUUGAACUCGCUGUGAAGAUGCAGUGUACCCGCGGCUAGACGGAAAGACCCCGUGAACCUUUACUAUAGCUUUGCACUGGACUUUGAAUCGAUUUGUGUAGGAUAGGUGGGAGGCUUUGAAGCGUGGACGCCAGUCUGCGUGGAGCCAACCUUGAAAUACCACCCUGGUCUAUUUGGAGUUCUAACCCAGGCGUAAGUCGGGGACCGUGCAUGGUGGGUAGUUUGACUGGGGCGGUCUCCUCCCAAAGAGUAACGGAGGAGCACGAAGGUACCCUAAUCAUGGUCGGACAUCAUGCGGUUAGUGCAAUGGCAUAAGGGUGCUUAACUGCGAGACAAACAAGUCGAGCAGGUGCGAAAGCAGGUCAUAGUGAUCCGGUGGUUCUGUAUGGAAGGGCCAUCGCUCAACGGAUAAAAGGUACUCCGGGGAUAACAGGCUGAUUCCUCCCAAGAGUUCAUAUCGACGGGGGAGUUUGGCACCUCGAUGUCGGCUCAUCACAUCCUGGGGCUGAAGUCGGUCCCAAGGGUAUGGCUGUUCGCCAUUUAAAGUGGUACGCGAGCUGGGUUUAGAACGUCGUGAGACAGUUCGGUCCCUAUCUGCCGUGGGCGUUGGAGAUUUGAGGGGGGCUGCUCCUAGUACGAGAGGACCGGAGUGGACGUACCUCUGGUGUUCCGGUUGUCACGCCAGUGGCACUGCCGGGUAGCUAAGUACGGAACGGAUAACCGCUGAAAGCAUCUAAGCGGGAAACCGGCCCCAAGAUGAGAUCUCCCUGGGCCCUUGAGGCCCCUGAAGGUCCGUUGAAGACUACGACGUUGAUAGGCGGGAUGUGGAAGUGCAGUAAUGCAUGGAGCUAACCCGUACUAAUUGACCGUGAGGCUUGACCAU
rnacentral:rRNA from 1 species